rnacentral:rRNA from 1 species
GACGAACACUGGCGGCGUGCCUAACACAUGCAAGUCGAGCGAAUGAAGUUCCUUCGGGAACGGAUUUAGCGGCGGACGGGUGAGUAACACGUGGGCAACCUGCCUCAUAGAGGGGAAUAGCCUUCCGAAAGGGAGAUUAAUACCGCAUAAGAUUGUAGUACCGCAUGGUACAGCAAUUAAAGGAGCAAUCCGCUAUGAGAUGGGCCCGCGGCGCAUUAGCUAGUUGGUGAGGUAACGGCUCACCAAGGCGACGAUGCGUAGCCGACCUGAGGGAGGGAGCGGCCACAGUGGGACUGAGACACGUCCCAGACUCCUACGGGAGGCAGCAGUGGGGAAUAUUGCACAAUGGGGGAAACCCUGAUGCAGCAACGCCGCGUGAGUGAUGACGGCCUUCGGGUUGUAAAGCUCUGUCUUCAGGGACGAUAAUGACGGUACCUGAGGAGGAAGCCACGGCUAACUACGUGCCAGCAGCCGCCGUAAAAC